GCCCAGCCCUGCAUUCCCUGUGUUCCCAUUCAGUGACCAGCACUGAACAGACUCACCAUGGAGCUGGGGCUGAGCUGGCUUUUCCUUGUUGUGCUUUUAAAAGGUGUCCAGUGUGAGGAGAAGCUGGUGGAGUCUGGAGGAGGCUUGGUGAAGCCUGGAGGGUCCCUAAAACUCUCGUGUGUGGCUUCUGGAUUCACUUUCAGCAGUUACUACAUGGACUGGGUCCGCCAGGCUCCCGGAAAGGGGCUGGAGUGGAUCGCAAGGAUAAGAAGCAGUGGUAGUGGUAGUAGCACAUACUACACAGACUCUGUGAAGGGCCAAUUCACCAUCUCCAGAAACAAUGCCAAGAACACCCUGUACCUGCAAAUGAGCAGUCUGAGAAUUGAGGACACGGCCACCUAUUACUGUGCAAGAGACACAAAAUACUGGAAUAAUGGAUCCCAAAGAGUUAAACGGGACGGAGAUGAGAACGAGUUAGAGGAGAAAGUAAAGAGCGUGACAAAGAACCCUGCAGAGCAGUGA